UACGGAGGAUGCGAGCGUUAUCCGGAUUUAUUGGGUUUAAAGGGUGCGCAGGCGGCGUGUCAAGUCAGCGGUAAAAUGUCGGGGCUCAACCCCGGCCGGCCGUUGAAACUGGCGUGCUCGAGUUGGAGAGAAGUAUGCGGAAUUCGUGGUGUAGCGGUGAAAUGCAUAGAUGUCACGAAGAACCCCGAUUGCGAAGGCAGCAUACCGGCUCCACACUGACGCUGAGGCACGAAAGCGUGGGUAUCGAACAGG
rnacentral:rRNA from 1 species